GUGCUCGCUUAGGCAGCACAGAUACCGAAACUGGACCGAUACAGAGAAAGAUUAGCACGGCCCUGCACAAGGAUGACACGCAAGUUCGUGAAGCGGUCCAUGUAAAA
rnacentral:snRNA from 1 species